AGUGAACGCUGGCGGUAGGCCUAACACAUGCAAGUCGAACGGCAGCACAGUAAGAGCUUGCUCUUACGGGUGGCGAGUGGCGGACGGGUGAGGAAUACAUCGGAAUCUACUUUUUCGUGGGGGAUAACGUAGGGAAACUUACGCUAAUACCGCAUACGACCUACGGGUGAAAGCAGGGGAUCUUCGGACCUUUCGCGAUUGAAUGAGCCGAUGUCGGAUUAGCUAGUUGGCGGGGUAAAGGCCCACCAAGGCGACGAUCCGUAGCUGGUCUGAGAGGAUGAUCAGCCACACUGGAACUGAGACACGGUCCAGACUCCUACGGGAGGCAGCAGUGGGGAAUAUUGGACAAUGGGCGCAAGCCUGAUCCAGCCAUACCGCGUGGGUGAAGAAGGCCCUCGGGUUGUAAAGCCCUUUUGUUGGGAAAGAAAAGCAGCAGGUUAAUACCCCGCUGUUCUGACGGUACCCAAAGAAUAAGCACCGGCUAACUUCGUG
rnacentral:rRNA from 1 species